AUGCCACCUUCCGUGCACAACACGGAAGGCAUGCCGUUCAUGAAGCAUGGUUGUGUCUUCAUUGUGCACCGCCGGAUGAACGACAUGCUGGGACACGCUAUCCCUGAUUUAUGCCGCUUCAGCUUGGAUGAGUCUCCAUCGCGUGGAACCAGACUAGAAAGCUGCGACAAUGAUUCCCGUUGCCCACCGCUAUCGAUCGUGCCAUCCAUGAAGAACACCUGGGACUGGAACCUGGAGGAGGACAUGCAUUCGAAGAAGGAUUGGCCGGUGCUGCCGGCUAGCAUCAAGUUCGAUCCCACGGAGCAGGAGCUGAUCGAGCACCUUGAGGCCAAAGUGAGUGCUGACAGCGCGAGAUUUCAGUCUCUCAUCGAUUUGUUCAUACCAACCAUCGACGGCGAGCACAGCAUAUGCUACACCCAACCUGAGAAACUUCCAGGUAUCACACUGAGUGGCCUAAGGAAGCAAUUGUUCCAGCGCAAUUCCAGGGUGUUCAAAAGGGGCACACAGGCAGCAAAAAAGGUUCUGGUGCUACACACCAACAAGAACUUCGACCAGCAGAGGACCAACUGGGUGAUGCACCAGUACCACCUCAGGGACCUGGAGCAAGAGAAGGAGCGGGAGCUGGUCCUCUGCAAGAUUCUCUACCAGACGAACACUAGGGCCAGGAGUAAAAAGAUUAUAAGUUAG
rnacentral:rRNA from 1 species